AGACCUCUCCAAGGACUGAGACCUUGGCAGCAGCCAUUAUUGUGACCUAGUACAGGCAUGCUGACAUAGACACUGGCAGAUGCCAUUGGAGUUCUUUCCCUGCCUGUUAGCCUAGGGUCUGCCCCACCCACUAGAGCACCAAUUUAAUCCAGCUCAGCCAGGUAGGGCAGCCUGUGCUAGGGAAUGGCCCCAUCCAACAGCAAGCCCUCAGGCAACUUGUGGACCUGCAUAGGCUGGGUGCCUGGACCCUCUGCAAAGGAUGAGCCAGAGAAAAUAAAGUGCAGAGCCCCAGGUCAGAGUAAGUUGCCUUCAUAAUCACAAGCUAUGCACAAAACACAGAGCUGGGAAGAGUUGUGGAUACAAACCUGGGACCUCAGACAUUUUCAACAUUUGUAGAGAAGCGAGGAAUAAGUUGUUUUGAGCCAAAUUUCAGGAAGUGCCGCAUCUUGGGGGCAAUCCAGGGAAUAAUUGUCAACUGUGCAAAGGUUCAAUAUGUCAGGUGGGUCCCUCAGAAAUUCAGUUCACACUAGCUAAACUCAGUUUUUGGUAGCCAGAAUCUACUUACUUGUUCUAAU
rnacentral:lncRNA from 1 species